GGUAGGGGUGUCCUGAAGCCUGAGGCAUGGGCUGCUGACUGCGACUCCAGACUCCUCAUGCAACCAACAACUCCCUAAUGAAUUUAGCCAUAAUCCCUCUGUCCUAACAAGUCAGGAUCCAGUGUUCACUUUUCCAAGGUCUCUUCUGUCCCAUUAUGUUCUUAUUACAGAGCAUCUACUACCAGAUGGAUGAAGCUUCACAUGUUCAAAGGAAGCCAGAAAUUCCCAAAAUGUUGCCAACUGACGCCACUUUAUAAAGAAUGAAACCUCAGGGCUGGGAAGCCACCACUUGAUUGCUAACUUGAGCUGUGUCCCUUUCACUUCUGUCUUUGUCAUUCUUGAACUGAGAUGCCAGAUAAAAUGGGAUGCGUGGUGAAAUGUGAAUGUCAGAUAAACCACAAUUUUUUAGCAUAUGCUUCCCCAUAAAUUCACCAUAAUAGACUUCACUUGGCACUAUAUACUCUUACCUUUUAAAUCCUACUCAGGAUGAGACUAUAGUAGCAGACAGACAAUUCAAUCAGGAAAAAAAAAAGCUAGGAAGGGUCCUUUAGAAAGAUCUUCAUACUGGACAAUGGAGGGACCUAGCCCAGUAAUCACGUGGGGUCAAGGGUAUGCCUUGUCUUUCCAGAGCAUGCUGUCUGGCUGUAUCAUGGACCCAAACCAAGAAAAGGAGUUGGUUCCACCUUUCAAGAAGCUGAUGCUCAGUCCUGUGGCAGUGAUGUGUCAGAGACCUUGCCACAGCCAACAGACUAGGAUGAGGUCAUACCCAACCUGGGGCCAAUUAGAGAAAUUGACCCAGGAUGCUCAGCAGAUGGUAACCAAGAGCAGAAAUACCUACAACCCUGCUGCAAUUUUCUUGGCCGUGCUUACGCUGGUCUCUUUGCAGGAGAGAGGGCUCCACCUGACCUCAGCUUUUAUAUAUGGAUUCCUGUCUUCAUCCCCCAACAUCCUGUUUCCAGACUUUCAAGAGCUGUACCAGACAUGGAGACUGAAGGCAGGGCCUUGAGGACUGUGAGCCCACAUUCUACCCCUGAGCUGCACACCCCCGGUCCCUGAAUUCAUCUUUCUAUUGAGGUAUAACACAUAGAAAAACACGCAGUUCAUUCAACUUAGUGAGUUCCCAAAGUGAACACAUCCGUGCAAUAACGAUGAGGAUUGUGCUUCAGAACACGCACAGUACCCCAGAACCCUGCCCCGAGCCCCUCCUCAGGGCGUAGUCCAACCCUUUUCCUCCAAGGUGGCCAUGCCCUUGACUCCUAGACUGGUUUAUGGUGAUCUUUUCUUGGUGCUCCCUUUGAUAACUCAGGUGGUAGAGCAAAGGACUGUAGAAUAUAAUUAUCUUUCUUUGGUGCUUAAAUUGCCAGAACUUGAGGGGUAGAAGUGAGGGGAGGAAAAUGGGAAAAAAAGAAUCAAUUUAUCUCAUGUACAGGUACAAAUUCCCUAUGAUGAAUGUGAUCAUUAUGUAUAUUUAAAGUCUACCAAUAAAAUCUGAUUGGGGGAAAAAUUGCCACAACUUUGUCCGAUGGAGACCCUUUCGAGAUGGCUCCUUUCUCCUUGUGAUGCCAUUAAUUUUUUUUUUUUUGAUGCCAUUAAUUUUUUUUAAUUUUUUUAUUCUUUUUUUAUUAUUUUAAAGAGUAAAAGAAGGAUAACAUAGUAAUGGGGCUUACCGAUUUACAGACAAAGUGGUAGGAAAUUAUCAAUGGUUGUUGUUUUACAUAUUGUUAUCUACAAGACAGUUUCUCAGGAAAACAAAUAGACAAAUAAUAGUGAGUUACAGACAAAAGUGGUAGGUUAUUAUCAAUGGUUGUUGUACUACACUUUGGUAUCUUCAAAGUGGUUUCUAAAGAAAAUAGAGCUAUACAUGAGUGACUUAUUGAAUAAUCAUUGACUGUUCUCAAUGGUUGUUGUAGGAAACACAUAAUAAUAAACAUACAUCCAUUUAUGAAAUAGCAUAGGAACAAUACAAACAGUACAGAGUUAUGGACAGAUUAGUAGGAAAAUAUCAAUGGCUGCUGUAAUACAUGGUGGUAUCUUCAAAGUGGUUUCUCAGGAAGACAGAGAUACGCAAGAAAGAUCUAACAAGUAGUUACAGCCUAAGGGUUGUGAAAAACAGAGUGACUCCUUUCACUGAGGUAUGAUGGCUGGAAGGAAGGCCAGGACUGAAAAGAAGGACCGAGGGACUUGCACCUGUGUCUAUCAACAGGCUGUUUUCUUUUUCCUCUAUAGUCAUCAUUACCCGGGGCCCAUCAGUGCAGAAGUUGACCCCAACUGUUUGAAAGCACUAUUUUCUGGUGCACCAAAUAAUUGUAUACUCAGAGUUUGCCCCCAAUGCCAUUAAUUUUUGAAAGCAUCUAUUUUCUGAUGCACCAAAUCACAAACAUUGUAUGGUUCCACAGAAUAAAGUGUGUAGAGUAGUCAAACUCUGGCAAACAGGAAUAGGAAAUUAUUUCAUGGGUACAGAGUUUCAGGGUUUUUUGUUUGUUUGUUUAUUUGUUUGUCUGUUUGUUUUUUGAGACAAGGUCUUGCUGUGUAGUUCAGGCUAACCUUGAAUUCUGUGCCGCUCAGGCAGGCCUCAAACUUGUGGUGAUCCUCCUGUUUCGGCCUCCCAAAUUCUGUGGUGCAUCGCCAUACCCAGCAAAAAGUAACUUUCUGUGACACACAUAGGCAUCAAAGUUUCACUCAAAUAGUUCAUCUGAGAGCUGACUGUCUCUGGAUUUUAUUUUUUUUUUGGUUGGGUUUUUUGAGACGGGUCCUUGUUACAUAGUUCAGGCUGGCCUUGAACUUGCGGUGAUCCUCUUGCCUCAGCAUCCCGAGUGUUGGGAUUAUAGGUGUGCACCAUCAUGCAGGGCUCUGUCUUUGGAUUUUGAAUUCCAUUAGUUUAAGGUUCUUAAACUGAGAAAAAAAAUAUUUGCAUCACCUGCUUUAUCACUAAGACACAUUUGGUUAUUUAUUUAAAAACUCAGAUUUCACUGGCAGAGUUCUUGCCUCGUAUGCACAAGGCCCUGGGUUUGAUCCCCAGCACCACACACAUGCAAAAAAACCCCUCAAAUUUAUGUAUGUAUGUAUGUAUUUAUUUUGGUACUGGGAAUUGAACUCAGGAUCUCACCCCUGCCAGGCAGGCACUGUGCCACUGAGCUAUAUCCCUAGCCCACAUUUGGUAAUUUAAAGUCAUCAAAUGUCAGAGCUGCAAGAACUGUUGGAAACCAUGAGUAGGUCAGUCCCAGCCCCAUUUUACAGAUGUGGAAACCAAGGUCUAGAGAGGCUAACUGACUGGUUCAAAGACACAUAAUGAUUACUCCUGACAUCUGGUUCAGGGUCCUUUUUCACUGAGGAAUACUGACAAACUCUUUUGCCAGCAAUGGACAUAUGUCAUGGAAUAGUUCAGUACUAGAGCCUUUGCCUGGCAGAUGUAAGGCCCUGGGUUCAAUCACCAGGACUGGAAGAGAAAGAGAGAGAGAGAGAGCGAGAGAGAAGACAAGAAGGAGGAGGAGGAGAAGGAGAAGAGAACAGGAUUACAGGUGUGUGCCACCACGCCCAGCUUGGAUUAUAUUUCUCUUUUGUUUUCAGUUACUUUUUGUGUGUGAUGCUGUGGUUUUGUUUGUUUGUUUUUGGUUUUGUUUUUUCCGGUACCGGGGAUCGAACUCACGACCUUGCGCUUGCCAGGCAGGCGCUGUGCCACUGAGCUAAAUCCCCAGCCCCAAUGCCCCGAUGCUGUGGUUUUGAACCCAGUGCUUGGCCUGUAUUAGGCAAGUGCUCUACCCUGAGCUACACCUAAGCCUGUGUUCUUUUGGUCUAAAUGUUUUUAGGAGAGUGAGAAAUAGCAAUAGUAAGAGAGCACAUUCUUGUCUUAUUUAUAAUGUUAAUGGGAACAGGUCUGGAGUUUUCUGAUAGUUUUCUGAUGUAUUACUUAGAUUUACAAAUGCAGGUCCGGUGUGUGGUGCAUGCCUGUAAUCCCAGUACUCAGAACUCAAGGCCAGCCUGGACUACAUAGUAAGAUCUUGUCUUAAAAAAAAAAAAAUCAUGGAAAAUUUGAAAUAUGUAAAUAAACAUUUCAUAUCAUCUCUAAGAAAACCAGG
ensembl:lincRNA